rnacentral:rRNA from 1 species
AUGGCAACCCAACGCAUGCUCUUCCUCAUGUCUUUGAGCCUGCUGCUACAUCUAUGGGCGGCUGAGGCCGCCGCCGGCCACACCGAGGAAGCACAAGCACAGGCACUCCUUCGAUGGAAGUCCACGCUCCUCAACUCCUCAUCUUUGUCCUCGUGGUCGUAUGCCGCACCGACCUGUUCCUGGUAUGGUGUAACAUGUGAUGACCAUGGCCGGGCUACCCAGCUCAGGCUUACAGAGUCCAACCUCAAUGGCACGCUUGACGCCUUAUACUCUGUUGCUCUCUCUAGCCUCACCGUGCUCCAACUCUACGACAACAACCUCAUCAACACCAUACCAGUGAACAUCUCCCUAUUUCUCAACCUCGUCACUCUGAACUUGGGCGGCAACAACUUUGUUGGUCCCAUACCCUACCAGUUCAGCAAACUCAAGCACUUGACGGACCUUGAUCUGUCUAUCAACAUGCUAUCUGGGCCAAUACCAUGGUCGCUCUCGAUGCUCUCAACACUAGAGUUGCUGAAACUUGGACAGAACAAUCUUAGCGGUGGAAUCCCAGAGGAGCUCGGGGCGCUGCAUAGUUUGGAAGUGCUUGACCUGAACAGCAACUCACUUUGUGGACCGAUCCCAACAUCACUUGGGCAGUUUUCUAUGCUGGUAUGGCUGGACAUAAGUGGAAAUCAUUUAAGUUCAACCAUCCCUUUUGAGUUGGGCAACCUUACUAGCCUCGUAUACAUAGACCUGUCCUGA